rnacentral:rRNA from 1 species
UAGGGAAUCUUCGGCAAUGGGCGAAAGCCCGACCGAGCAACGCCGCGUGAAUGAUGAAGGCCUUCGGGUUGUAAAAUUCUGUUAUAAGGGAAGAACGACUUUAGUAGGAAAUGGCUAGAGUGUGACGGUACCUUAUGGGAAAGCCACGGCUAACUACGUG